CCUACGGGGGGCAGCAGUCGAGAAUCAUUCUCAAUGGGGGAAACCCUGAUGGUGCGACGCCGCGUGGGGGAAUGAAGGUCUACGGAUUGUAAACCCCUGUCAUGUGGGAGCAAAGUACAAAGAUAGUCCCACAAGAGGAAGAGACUGCUAACUCUGUGCCAGCAGCCGCGGUACUACAGAGGCCGCAAGCGUUGGUCGGCAUCACUGGGCGUAAAGCGUGCGUAGGCUGUUUGGUAAGUCGUGUGUGAAAGGCGCGGGCUCAACCCGCGGACGGCACAUGACACUGCGAGACUAGAGUUAUGGAGAGGGAACCGGAAUUCUCGGUGUAGCAGUGAAAUGCGUAGAUAUCGAGAGGAACACUCGUGGCGAAGGCGGGUUCCUGGACAUUAACUGACGCUGAGGCACGAAAGCCAGGGGAGCGAAAGGGAUUAGAUACCCCAGUAGUC
rnacentral:rRNA from 1 species